rnacentral:rRNA from 1 species
AUGUGUUGGAAGAAAAAACCGGGCUACCCAAGCAGUGACUUGCUCAUACUCAAUAAACAGUUCAUGCAGACAGAUGCAGCCCGGUGUGUUGAUGUAGACCAGACCGCAAGAGACGAACGACAAAGGCGACCACAACAUCAGAAGCAGCUCGGACAGAUGAGUCGACCGCGGCAUUCGCAGGGGCGUAGGAAGGGAGCAGCCUGUAGGGCCAGGGCGGUCGGUUCAGAAGCAAGUCACUGGCAAGGCCGCGGCGUAGAGCAGUUUGCAGGCGAACGGCAAGCCGAGGCCGACGAGGUGUGUUUCAGACAGGCCCGACGGGUUCCGAUAUCAGAGGCCGCAGCCCGUGGUGGAACGGCUCAGCGCUCACUUUGGCGGUGA